rnacentral:ncRNA from 2 species
ACUUAUCCCCACGGGAGCCCGCAUGGAAGCGGGCUGAGAUGGCCGCUGGAACCGCGGCCGCACCGUUCGAACCUGUCUGGUUAGCACCAGCGAAGGAAGAGAGGUCAGGCCCAUGU